UUGAACGCUGGCGGCAUGCUUUACACAUGCAAGUCGAGCGGUAACAGGCCUUCGGGUGCUGACGAGUGGCGAACGGGUGAGUAAUGCAUCGGAACGUACCCAGAGGUGGGGGAUAACGCAGCGAAAGCUGUGCUAAUACCGCAUGUGAUCUGAGGAUGAAAGCGGGGGACCGAGCAGCAAUGUUUGGCCUCGCGCCUUUGGAGCGGCCGAUGUCGGAUUAGCUAGUUGGUGGGGUAAAGGCCUACCAAGGCGACGAUCCGUAGCUGGUCUGAGAGGACGACCAGCCACACUGGGACUGAGACACGGCCCAGACUCCUACGGGAGGCAGCAGUGGGGAAUUUUGGACAAUGGGCGCAAGCCUGAUCCAGCAAUGCCGCGUGCGGGAAGAAGGCCUUCGGGUUGUAAACCGCUUUUGGCAGGAACGAAACGGUGUCCGCUAAUACCGGGCGCUAAUGACGGUACCUGCAGAAUAAGCACCGGCUAACUACGU
rnacentral:rRNA from 1 species